rnacentral:rRNA from 1 species
UGGGGAAUAUUGGACAAUGGGCGCAGCCUGAUCCAGCCAUGCCGCGUGAGUGAUGAAGGCCCUAGGGUUGUAAAGCUCUUUCACCGGUGAAGAUAAUGACGGUAACCGGAGAAGAAGCCCCGGCUAACUUCGUGCCAGCAGCCGCGGUAAUACGAAGGGGGCUAGCGUUGUUCGGAUUUACUGGGCGUAAAGCGCACGUAGGCGGACUAUUAAGUCAGGGGUGAAAUCCCGGGGCUCAACCCCGGAACUGCCUUUGAUACUGGUAGUCUUGAGUUCGAGAGAGGUGAGUGGAAUUCCGAGUGUAGAGGUGAAAUUCGUAGAUAUUCGGAGGAACACCAGUGGCGAAGGCGGCUCACUGGCUCGAUACUGACGCUGAGGUGCGAAAGCGUGGGGAGCAAACAGG